ensembl:processed_transcript
GUUUUAGGUCAUUACCCAUGUCUCACAAGGGUGAAGAAAGAGGAGCCAUUCCAGACCCAGGAGUGCUGCUUUUACCCAGACAGCAGCUCUGGACACAGACACACGGGACAGCACCGCUGAGCUUCCUGGUUAUAUGGCUCCUCUGCCUUCACAUUUGGCUGAUUCUGCAUCCACAGACCAGAGGAACAGCAAGAGGAAAAGGCAAAGCAGCUGAAGCCAGCAAACACUGUCCACCUCUUCCCAGAGACUGGCAAAACGCUCUCGCAAAGGGCCCGUUGCUGGGACGAGGUGGAUUCGGCUCUGUGUUUGCUGGGAUCCGCAGGUCUGAUGGUCUGCCAGUGGCCAUCAAGUACGUGCCGAACCCCAGAGAGACUGAAAGUUGACGGUCAGGGUCGGCUGCCGCUGGAGGUGGCGUUGAUGACCCGCGUCACUUCAGCUCUUGUCUGCCCCAGUGUCCUGCAGCUGCUGGACUGGUUUGACCAUCUCAGACGCUACAUCCUGAUCCUGGAGCGUCUUCUUGCCAAGAUCUCCAGCGCUUCUGUGAGGAAAACGGCUGUCUGGAGGAGCGUCUGGCCAGGAAAGUGCUGGUGCAGCUGAUCGUGGCGCUAAAACACUGUGAGAGCCGCAGCAUCCUGCACCAGGACGUCAAGCCAGAGAACCUGCUGAUCUCCACAGAGUCUCAGGACAUCAGGCUGUUGGAGUUCGGCUGUGGAGACCUGCUGAAGCGCUCGCACUACAAAUACUUUGCAGGCACUCCUGCCUACGCUCCUUCUGAUUGGUUUCGCAGACAUCGCUACAAUGCCACUUCAGCUGCAGUCUGGUCAGUAGGAGUGAAGCUCUACAACAUCCUGUGUGACUGUUUCCCCUUCAGAGGCGCACAGAGGGUCACAUCCCGAAGCAGACUGACCUUUCCUA